rfam:Terriglobus roseus DSM 18391, complete genome.
GGAGGGAUGGGCGAGUGGUUUAUGCCUACUGUCUUGAAAACAGUCGACCCGUAACAGGGUCCGGGGGUUCGAAUCCCUCUCCCUCCG